GGGUUUUCCACUGAUUCUCGAAAUCCUUUAGUUGAAGUUCCCAUUAGCCAUGCAAAACGCCUUUUACACACGAGCUGUCUAUUCAGAACUUCUAAAAGAGAAUCCUGAGCAUCAUAGAAGAUCCUGCCACAGAAAUCCUCACCUCUAAGCAAAGGCACUGAGGAUUUUAGCAUCAACAACAGCAAGCAGCACAAAGACCCUGGACUACAGCUAUGGUUUUACAUGACCAGGGCAAUGAAGCAGGCUAGACUAUGGCUGGACUCCACCCCAGCGGUCAGCCACUGUUUUUAAAUGUUUUUGGAUGACGGAGGGCAUUACAGAUCAAUGAUGAACCAAAACGUCCACCACCUGAACACCUGUCUGUGCUGUAGCCUUCAGCAAUCAGCCAUCUGUCCAAGCGACUAAAAAGACUAUACUAACCACAU